CCUGAGCGCUCCCCCUCCCCGCUCCCGGCCAAGGGAUGCGGGAUGCGCCGGGAGGUGCCAGGAUGCGCGGCGCUGCAGGCGCGGCCCAGGGCCCCUCAGGGGUCGCGUCACCGAGCAGGCGAAGCCGGGAGCAGGAUCGCCUUUGCCUCCCGCCCUGCGGAAGGGCUCUGGCUUUCUGCAGAUUCUUCUCAAGGGAGGCUGUGACCCAUAAGAUUUGGAGCUGAUGCUGAACAACCUUAUAUUACAGAGGGGGCCUGGGGAUCUCAGAGUGGAGAAGAAGCUGGCUCAAGGUCACCCAGAAAUUUAGCAGCAAGUUGGAAAGAAGAACUCAAGACUCCAGACUGUACGAUGCUAUUUAAUGUCUGACUGAAGGUCAUCUCCUCCGAGAAGCCUUCCCUGAACUCAUCCCAUCUUCUGCAUUACAUCGCAUAUACCUUGAAAGGACACCCUUUAUUGCAACAAGCCACUUCAGUGGAAUCUGUCCCUGCUUGAGUGAGACAUCCUUGAGAUAAGGGACUGUGUCUUAUUCACCCUUGUGUGAUGGAAAAAAAAAAAAAAUCUCCUGGAGCUCAAAGCGACUUGUCCAAGUUCCCCCAGGGAGUGAGUGGCAGAGCUGGGAUUUGAAUCCAAAAUGCUUUUGCACCUCCUACACCACCAGUGCUGCCGUGGUGUUUGUUCAGCAUCCAGCUGAAGGCAGCAUGGCCCUCACGGUGGGCCCUCUCAACUGGGCUGUGGAGCAGCCGGAGUACAGAGCCUGGCUCCCCCACCAUCCUGGGAGAAAGAAAUUACAAAGAGGGGAAAAGAAUUUGACCUUCAUGGAGCUCACAAUCCACUGGGGAGAUGGCUCAGACACCAGUGGAGGAGCCAAUAGAACAAACGCAGUCCAUCAUGAACUCUUUUUAAAAUGUAUUGUGUGUAGGAAUGACACCCCUCAUAGAAGAAUCCCAGGAUUUUCUCUUCUGUGUGUUUCUGUUUCACUUCCUUGCAGCCAUGAUACUAGCUUAGGUCAUCGGUGCAAUGAGAUGAAAGAAGAUGAUUCUGUCACUUCUCUAGAUCUUUGAGUGAUACGUCAAAUUCAAGGCUAAUCACACUUACUUAACCUGCGUGAGUUUCGCAAUGAUGUUCUUGCUCUAUGAUCAUCAAUGAUUUCCAAUUCACCUGUGUAGCCAUGCUUCAUUGUCACAAUAGAAAUCAUAUAAACCUUUCAAGGAAAGUCUUCCACUACAAACAAGCAACAAUUAGAAGCCAGAUGAUGACUUCGGAGCAUGGCCUAAAUGAACCUGGAGUUUGUCUUUCUUCUCAGCAUUAUCAAUGUUCUUAAGGACAUUCAUGUGCACUAUUAUAGCAGCAUGGAAAGAUGGCAGAAAGAAAUGACUUAUGUUUUGUUCUCAUAUCCAUCCAUCCAUCUAUCCAUUCAUUCAUUCAUCUACUCAUUUAUGUGUUCAGCUGGAUAAGUACCCUCCCUUUCUCUACCUACCAUCCCUCCAUCCAUCUAGCCACUCAUUUAUGUGUCCAAAAUAUACUGAGCCCAGCGCUUAAGCCAGGCACUAGGCUAUGCAGGGAGACACAGGAGGUAACCCAAACAACAUGGUUCUGGCUCUUCUAUUUCUCAGGGUCUAGUGGCCGUGUGAGCCAUGAAUCAAAGAAUCAUUUUAAGUAUGAUUGCAAAACUUUGCAAGAGCUAUGAAGAAGUUCAGGAUAUUAUGAGGGCCUCUAACAGGGGUCCAACGAGGUCUAGGGAUUCAGGGAGGGCUUCUCAGAGGAGGUGACAUUUCAGCUACUCGCCAAAGGAUCCACAGUGGUAGUGUGGAUAAGCCAGUGGGCGGAGGAGCGGGGAUGUGCAAAGGCCCAGAGGUGGGAAAGAGUUUGGUGUAUUAAAGCAGCAGAGAGAGGAAGCUGGAGUGACCACUGAGAAUGGAUCAGGGGUGAGCCUGGGGCAAGUCGAGGUGGGCAAGGUCCCCACGCAGGGCCUAGCAUGGGUUUGAGGUUUUUAUCCUGAGAGCCAUGGAAGUUACUGAAGGGAG